AUUGAACGCUGGCGGCAGGCCUAACACAUGCAAGUCGAGCGAGCGGCGGACGGGUGAGUAAUGUAUGGGGAUCUGCCCGAUAGAGGGGGAUAACUACUGGAAACGGUGGCUAAUACCGCAUACUUAUGGAUUGACCCGCGGUGCAUUAGCUAGUUGGUGAGGUAAAGGCUCACCUAGGCGACGAUCUCUAGCUGGUCUGAGAGGAUGAUCAGCCACACUGGGACUGAGACACGGCCCAGACUCCUACGGGAGGCAGCAGUGGGGAAUAUUGCACAAUGGGCGCAAGCCUGAUGCAGCCAUGCCGCGUGUAUGAAGAAGGCCUUAGGGUUGUAAAGUACUUUCAGCGGGGAGGCGUUACCCGCAGAAGAAGCACCGGCUAACUCCGUGCCAGCAGCCGCGGUAAUUC
rnacentral:rRNA from 1 species